rnacentral:lncRNA from 1 species
GAGGCAUGUUGACGGUGUUUUGUAUGUGGAUUUCUAUGGUAUAUCCACCGUCAACAAGAUCCCCCAAGCUUAACCUUUGCUCGUCCCGAGCAAACAAUCAAACUUAGCCUCGGUGGAUCAGGUAUUGUUACUAUGUUCACAUUUCAAGAGUACCAUGUGUACAACAAAGUUCUUCUCUUUGCAUGAAAAAUUUAGCUAUGUAAACUUACCCCUAUUUACCUUAGUCCCUUAUGGGGCUUAUGGCUUUUCCUUUGUCUUAGGUGGUUGAGAGGCAGAACAGUUUGACUUGAGCACUAACUUUCUCAUUCUUAGCAAGUUUCAUAUCAGAGGUUUUGUGAUAUUUUCAAAAGAAAGCUUAAAUGUUCCUCUUAUGGUUCUCUCAUGUCACUCAAAUGGUGUAUGAUUCCUCACCAAGGCAUAUGGUAAGAGUUGCCUUCUCUAUUUCAUCCUAUUUCUAAAAGGCUUAUGUGGAGUUCAAGGUAGGGAUGAAAGGAGAUAGCAUACUUACUUUGCAUGUAUUGCGAAGUCAAAGCUCGGAUCCUUGAAGAGAAGUGUCAUAAUCCCAGAUCAAGAUGUGCAAGUGUGAUAUAUGGUGGACUAGGUUGCUCCUUUAUUUGAUAGACUCUCUAUGUAUUGAGACAUGGCUAGCAUUUUUUUCUUCUUUUUUUUUUAUAUAUGAGCUUUCAUGUGCUCAAUUUUCUUUUUCUGUGGACUUGCACAUGUCCAUCUUUUUAUUUCAUUUUGCCUAGCCCUUUUGAUGUCUCAUUUACCAAAUAAUGCUUAGAGAGAUGUUCUAACAUUUAGAGUAUGGAGCAACCUAUUUAGUGGAUGCGAAAUACAUGUGGUUGCGUACUUCCAGUGUAGAAGCAGCAUAUAUAUAUGUGGUGUGUAUGUGAUCUUGAUCUUAGGAGCAUGAAAAGUCUCUUAACAAGGGUCAACAAGACUUGACGACACUCAACACAAAGCAAAUAGCUUAUGUGGAAAGGUUGCAAUUAUGUAAAGUAGAUAUGGCUGUGGUAGGAAUUCAUCACCAUUGAGGAACAAUUAAGGUUUUGAUCAUUUUAAGAAUAAAUCUCUGAUAAUCAUGCAUGCUUAGAAAAAUAUUAUAGUAGCUCUUGUCUUACUAUCUCAUGUCCCACAACAACUUAGACUUAGUUCUAGCACUUGCAACCCACAAAGUUUUUAGGUUCAUGGC